AUUAGCUGGAUUUCUUCUAGGGAGAGGAGAGGAGGAAGGCAGGUCCAGGCAGAGGGUACAGCCUGUGGCCGGAAAAGUCUCAGCUUUUUUUCCAAGGGGCAGCCAACUUUUGGGGGAAGAUGUACAGAAGGAGAAACAGCAGCCCAACGCCAGUGGUGCCAGCAGAAUGAUAAGAACUGAGGCUUCUCAAGCUCUUACCGCCUCCCAGCCCCACAGUGAACACUUCCUGCCAUCCUGUCACUGAAUGCCCAUCCUGACCCCAAAGAUGGUGUGGCCCUGGUGACACAGAGCGGAGUCAGCAGAUACUAAGUCUUAGCUGCUGUGGCCUCAGCCACUUCUUGGUCAUAAGACUUCCUGCAGAAUCAGCUACGGACCUUGUUUCUCCAGCAAUGUGAUUUCCCAAGACCUCAGGCGGCCCCUCAUUGAUUUGGGCAGCUCUCCUAUGAGUACUGAUCAAAUAUCAAGGCUCCCUUCCUCUUGGGGGUGUUAAUUGGCCCAAAAACGGUAUGCUUUGGGGCCCUACAGAUUUCUGAAUGGACUCAUUGAUACCUUUCCAGUGGCAUCAACUCACAGAGGAGUCAGGAGGCCUUGAAGUGCUUGGAAAAGCCAUCCUUUUUAUAUUGAAGGUGCUGUCCUCGCCUGUGGCAUUUAUUCAUUGGCUGGGUACCUAAAGCUUUUACUUCCUGUAUUCAACAACCUUUUAUUGGCACCAACUGUAUGCACAUCCUCCAAGAGGUCUUCUCCGCCACAGUAUCUAAAAUUACCCUCAGCCCAGUUCUUCUCUGCC
rnacentral:lncRNA from 1 species